rnacentral:rRNA from 1 species
UACGUAGGGGGCUAGCGUUGUUCGGAAUUACUGGGCGUAAAGCGUACGUAGGCGGCUUGGCAAGUUAGAGGUGAAAGCCCGGGGCUCAACUCCGGAAUUGCCUUUAAGACUGCAUCGCUAGAAUUGUGGAGAGGUAAGUGGAAUUCCGAGUGUAGAGGUGAAAUUCGUAGAUAUUCGGAAGAACACCAGUGGCGAAGGCGACUUACUGGACACAUAUUGACGCUGAGGUGCGAAAGCGUGGGGAGCAAACAGG